UAUUGCUAGAAUUAGAAGCGAGUACUUCCUGUUGACACGCAGAGGCACGAAAACAAACUUCUUAUGCCUCAAACAGUCCAGUUUCUGAGCAGUUAAUUACCUCUCUGAGAUAAUGACGAAUGUGUAUUCAUUUGAUGGACUGUUGGUGUUCGGCCUGCUAGUCGUAUGUACAUGUGCCUACAUGCGACGGGUUCCUCGACUCAAGCAGUGGUUCCUGUCUGAGAAAAAAGGCUUUCUAGGAGUAUUUUAUAAAGCAUCUGUUAUUGGCACCCGACUUCACACUCCGGUAUCUGUCAUCUGUAUUCUCAUGGCAUUCUAUGUUCUUCUACUCAAGUAACCAUGGCAAACUCACCUUUCAUUACGUCUCCGCCCAGAGUUGUCUGCUCUUGCAUACUCAUCCAUCAUUUGUAUCACAUUGAAUGUGGAGAAGGCAUGGACAUUACAUGGAGAACAGCUGACUGUGGUUGACAGCUCAACUAUGCAGAAACUGUGUAAUUAUGUGAAGAACACGACUUUCUGUGAUCACUGUGUACUUACCAUGUUUGUUUACAGAUCUUCUAAAGUUCCAGAUUGGCUAAUUAUCUGCAUAAAAUAUGCACAACAAAUCAUGCUCACUCUUUACUCACUCACGAAAUAUGCCUGAAAAAUAUGACUUUACCAUGUUUACUAUACUGUGUGUGUAAUUACCUAAAGUCAGACAUUGUAUUUGUAUCUUUCGUAACACUAUUUCCUUAAUGACCAUCUAUACUGAUAAAAUGCAAGCAUGUCCACUUUUGAGUUUUGGUACAAAGACCUUUCAGUGUAAUAAACUUGCAACAUGGUACUAAGUUGGGGCAAGUUCAUUACAUUA
rnacentral:misc_RNA from 1 species